GGGGGGGGGGGGGGGCGCUGGGGGGGUUACUCCCCCAGGGAGUAAGUUAGUGUAGAACCGCCACUGGCUGUAGUCCUCUAUUACUGUAUUCGUGAUUUCUCCCAACUCUGGUCCCUACCAACAGCUCUCUCUGGUGGACAGAAGUCAUGAAGGCACCUGCACUUUUGUCUGCUCAAAAUACAAGUUUGGAUGUAAGACGGAAAAUUUUGAACCAGCUUAGACAAAAAACCUCAUCUUCCAUCGAUACACAAAAACAUUUUUUGCACAUUUCUCAAAAACCACCAGAGUGAAGAAAGUUUCUUCCUCCCUGAAGUUUCCAUUCUUCAGUCUGAGGCCUGGAGAGACACUUUCUGCUCAUUCUCCAGAGAUCCCUGAUGUCCUGAUCAUCAGUCGGUGUGGUUAGAGAAGCAAACUUGUGAACUUUGAGGCCUGAACUUUUCUCCUGGUCUACAGAAAAAGCCCUGAGAUGCAUCUCCAUCCAGAGUCUGCUUUGGCUCUCAGCUCCAAGAGCAAAGGGUCGUCUGUCACACACUGACAUCAACCUAGAACUGUUGUCUUAUCUAAACAGGAACGCAUCUUCAGUGGAGACAACAGGAGCAUAGGUCAAAGACUAAAGAACACAGUUCAAAGAUUUUUUCAGAACAUUAUGUUUGGGGUUAAAUGUGUCAUUUUAAUGGCAUCGUUUAUGGAGUCAGAAGUUCCUCCUGGACCUGGAUUGUGUAACAACAAAUUUACAGCAAGUGACAGGAGACAAAGUCCAGCAAAGCUGCUGAAAAUCAAACAUGACAGGCCGUUCCACUCCUCUAAACUUGAACUUUUAUAUUACAUACAGUUUUACUGUAAAGGUGAAGAAAUGUUGUUGUUUAAUAGGUCUUAACUAUAUUUAUGUUCAGGUGAUGAUAUAUAGCUUUACAUGAUCCAAAUGUUUUACCAGGAUUUGUCCAAUCAAAGGUGAGGAUGAGGUUUAUGGAAAAUGUUUGUUUUUUGAAAGACACCACCAGAAAGGAUGCUUUCCAACAACAGGAAGUCACAGUAGCUCUUCAUGCAGACUUCCUGUCACGGUGAACAUCUCAAACAUCUCCUUUAGGAGGGCUAAAAAUGCAGGGAAUCUUAUUUAGCUGUAAAAAAACAUAAUAUGUAGAAAUGGACUGAAUGAUUAUCUCCUUCAUGCUGUAAAGCCUCAGGAAGAAACUCUAUAAAACCCUGAUGUGUCAUCGCACUAUGCAGGCCUUUCUGUCAAACAUUCACCCCCCCAGGAGUGAGUCAGUGCUGCCAGGUAAAGUUGAUUUGGCAGAUUUAUGGCUCCAGAUACCUUUAUGUGCUUCAGAUUAAAAGGUUUGUUUGUUUUGAUGACUUUUAUUUGUUUGAAUCUGAAUUUCAUGAUUUAAAAACAGCAGCUUUAUUAAAGUUCACACAAGGUUUUUACAGUUUUUCUCAGUCGCUUUGGUGCAUUUUUGCACACCCGUUACUGCAACCUCCACAACCUUCAGUCACUAGGACGCAACCAUGUGGCUGUUUCAUGUUCAUCUCUUGAAAUAGCAAAGGCUUUUGGACACGAAGCAGUAGAUGAAAUACAAAUCUCUGCACAAUGCUCACUUUGACUUGCUUAUGAUCAUUAUUAAUUUGUUAUUAUCAGAGUUGUCAAAACUGAUAAAACUGUGUUCCCCAUGUAUUUGCAUUUCACAUGUUUGCAGAUUGUUUUGGUCAUGUGACUCAGAAACUCAGUUCAAGAUGUCUAUAUAAGACUUUUGUGUCCCAGUUCCCACUUCCUGCUAAAUUUUUACAGACAUUUCCACUGGCUAUACUCGAAGUUUAUGACCCUGCAUGGUGAAAUGAGCGGCCGCAAAAUAUCCUGACACGCCGAAGAAGAUAAUCGCGGAGAAUAAAUAUCAUCUGGAUGAAGGAGUGAUGGAUGAAACCGGCCUCUUCUGGAAGAAGAUGCUUUCUAUCACUUUACUGAUGAAGGAGGAAACACGGACUCCUGGUUUUAAGGCAUCAAGUGACAGAGCGACACUCGUAAUGUGUGUCAUAAAGUACACUAUGAUACAGUCUAUGAUAGACUGAACAGAAAAAAAUUAUUUAUGUUGGGCAAUAUCCUAAAGUUCAUUAAUAAAUGUUUUACAAAGCAUCCACAAUGUUUCAGAAGGGUUUUUGAUGAGUUAUUGAUGAUUGGAUGCCGUUGUUGGAGGACAGAGGCCUCUGUUUUGACCCACUCCACCAAUGUUAACUGCAUCCCCUUAGGAUAUGAACACACCAGGAGGAUGGUGGUCACGCUGGACCCUGCCAUGAC
rnacentral:lncRNA from 1 species